GACGAACGCUGGCGGCGUGCUUAACACAUGCAAGUCGAACGGAAAGGCCCUGCUUUUGUGGGGUGCUCGAGUGGCGAACGGGUGCGUAACACGUGAGUAACCUGCCCUUGACUUUGGGAUAACUUCAGGAAACUGGGGCUAAUACCGGAUAGGAUCUCCCGCUGCAUGGUGGGGGUUGGAAAUUUUCGGCUGGUGGGGAUGGACUGGCGGCUUAUCAGCUUGUUGGUGGGGGAGUGGCUUACCAAGGCUUUGGCGGAUAGCCGGCCGGAGAGGGUGACCGGCCACAAUGGUACUGAGAUACGGCCCAGACUCCUACGGGAGGCAGCAGUGGGGAAUCUUGCACAGUGGGCGGAAGCCUGAUGCAGCGACGCCGCGUGCGGGAUGUCGGCCUUCGGGUUGUAAACCGCUUUCGCCUGUGACGAAGCGUGAGUGACGGUAAUGGGUAAAGAAGCACCGGCUAACUACGUG
rnacentral:rRNA from 1 species